rnacentral:misc_RNA from 1 species
GAUGAAGACGUAGCGAAAUGCGAUAAGUAGUGUGAAUUGCAGAAUUCAGUGAAUCAUCGAAUCUUUGAACGCACAUUGCGCCUCCUGGUAUUCCGGGAGGCAUGCCUGUUCGAGCGUCAUUAAAAUCACUCAAGCUUAGGUUUACCUAUUGCUUGGUCUUGGAGAUGGAAGCCAAUUUAUUGGAAUCCUCUUCGAAAUUCAAUGGCGAAGACCCUUGCUCUCCCAAGUGUAGUAAUAACUUAUGUCACUGAAGGAAGCGAGAAAUCUUCUGCCGUAACCCCCAUAUUUUCUAUGAUUGACCUCGGAUCAGGUAGGGAUACCCGCUGAACUUAAGCAUAUCAAUAAGCGGAGGA